rnacentral:rRNA from 1 species
GUCCUUUUGGGUUUAAUUGAAGGUCUGACCUGCCCAGUGAUUAAUUUAACGGCCGCGGUAUACUGACCGUGCAAAGGUAGCAUAAUCAUUAGUCUUUUAAUAGAGGGCUGGAAUGAAAGGUUUAACGAGGAACUGACUGUCUCAUUUUAUUUGUUUUAAAAUUUAAUUUUUUAGUUAAAAAGCUAAAAUUUUAUUGGAAGACGAGAAGACCCUAUAGAUCUUUAUAGAUAUAUAAUUAAUUAUUAUUAUAUAAAUAUAAUUAUUUAUUAUUCUAUUUUGUUGGGGUGACAAAAAUAUAAAAUCAACUUUUUUAUUUAUUUAACAUUGAUUUAUGAAUAUAUGAUCCAUUAUUAGUGAUUAUUAGACUAAGUUACCUUAGGGAUAACAGCGUAAUCCUCCUCCAGAGUUCAUAUUUACAGGAUGGGCUUGCGACCUCGAUGUUGGAUUAAGAUAAUAAUCAGGUGUAGCCGCUUGAUUUAUAGGUCUGUUCGACCUUUAAAUUCUU